UGGAUGCCAGGUAAUUGGUGCAGAAUUAAGGUGGUGCUAAUGGUAAAAGAAGUGAAGCACUAGAAAGUGAAAAUUAGAAGAAUGUAGACCUUAAUUGGAUUAGAGGAUAGGGGAGAAUGGAGGGAAAGAAAAGUUAUUUUUAUCCUAUGAAAUGUUCGCAGCUGGAAGAAUGGUAUUACCAUUCACAUUAAAUAAAAAGGGAAAGCAACAAUAAUUUGUAGGGACUGGAGAAUUCUACAGCCAAAUGAGAGGCCUAACAGGCAGGGGAAAAAGAGGCAAUUAAGUAAGAUGGCGUUUUGGGAGUCAGAGCAUAAAUAAUGAAGUCUUUAUAUUUGUUUCCUUUUUUUCUGAUGUUUUAUUAUUUUAUUAUUCUGCACCAAUUACCUGGUAUCCUAGUGGCCAUUUCCACGGAGAAAUGAAGCGUUACCACUAAGAAGAUAAUUUG
rnacentral:lncRNA from 1 species